rnacentral:rRNA from 1 species
GUCCCAGUUCGGAUUGCAGGCUGCAACCCGCCCUGCAUGAAGCUGGAAUCGCUAGUAAUCGCGGAUCAGAAUGCCGCGGUGAAUACGUUCCCGGGUCUUGUACACACCGCCCGUCACACCAUGAGAGUUGAGAAUACCCGAAGCCCAUGUCAAAGUGGUCGAAGGUAGGCUUGAUGAUUGGGGUGAAGUCGUAACAAGGUAAC